GGGGUUGUGGCUCAGUGGUAGAGCGCUUGCCUAGCAUGCGUGAGGCAUUGGGUUCAAUUCUCAGCACCA
rnacentral:tRNA from 1 species